GAUGAACGCUGGCGGCGUGCUUAACACAUGCAAGUCGAACGGAAAGGCCCAAGCUUGCUUGGGUACUCGAGUGGCGAACGGGUGAGUAACACGUGGGUGAUCUGCCCUGCACUUCGGGAUAAGCCUGGGAAACUGGGUCUAAUACCGGAUAGGACCACAUUUUGGAUGGUGUGGUGGAAAGUUUUUCGGUGUGGGAUGAGCUCGCGGCCUAUCAGCUUGUUGGUGGGGUAAUGGCCUACCAAGGCGUCGACGGGUAGCCGGCCUGAGAGGGUGUACGGCCACAUUGGGACUGAGAGACGGCCCAGACUCCGACGGGAGGCAGAAGUGGGGAAUAUUGCACAAUGGGCGCAAGCCUGAUGCAGCGACGCCGCGGGGGGGAUGACGGCCUUCGGGUUGUAAACUCCUUUCGCUAGGGACGAAGCGUUAUGUGACGGUACCUGGAGAAGAAGCACCGGCUAACUACGUG
rnacentral:rRNA from 1 species